UUAAAGCCUAGGUGGCACUGAUGUGCAGUCAAGACCUAUAAAGCUGCAGAGCUCACAGAUGAAUUCUCACAUUCUGGCUUUACAGGAAGAGGCUCCAUUAUACAAGUUAUGAACUGGAAUCCUGCUACAUCAUUCCCAGCUGGUCAUGGUGAUGGGAAAAAAUACAGUGGAAGUCAAUGGCUACUGUCAACCAACAUUCUUCAAAAUAUCUUCUUUUGUGCUCAGCAGAAGAAAGAAACUCAUACAGGUUUGGAACAACUUGAGGGUGAGAAAAUUUUGUGGAGCUGGGCGAUAUGGAUGCAAUUAUCACAAUUUUUUUCAUAUCAGUCGAUAUCAAUAAUUAUCAUGAUAAAUGUCAAAGUUUAAAGGCAGAUUUUUGCUACAAUGUGAAAGUUGUACAAUAUUCUUUAUGGUCAGAACAUGACAAACACUUCAUGUUGUUUAAAUUUUUUACACUUUUUUUCCAGUCAUUUUUCCUUAACAAAAUAAAUAUCUUUAUAGAAAAAAAAAUUCUUAGUUUUGCAUGUUUAUUGUAAUAUUGUUUCAAAUCAAGAAACAGGUUUGCAAAGUUCAAUAAAUGUUCGAUAUAACUUUUACGUGCCAAACGCGGAACGAAACGGCACGACUCAUUUGAAUCGCGCCACACGGACCGUGGUAUUGUGGCAGCAAUGUGGGAUAUUCACAUUAAAUUUUAUUACAGGAGUAAUGGUAUAUAAUUAUAGUAUGUAUGUUUUUGUGAUUAAGCUACAGCAUGUGUGAAUUUAUACUGUAUGUUUUUAGAUUACCAUUUUUCAUACAAAUAGGCUACCUAUAAAACCAUGUAUUUAUAUUUUUACCAAGGUAUUGAGGUACCAUUAUGUGUGGUUUUAACUGUAUGCCUGCUACUAUGGGAGACCAAUGCUUAUAAAAUAAAAUAAUUAAAAAAAAAGCUAGAUCAGAAUAAAUUUAACCAUAUAAAACUGAGGUUGCUACAAUUUUUACAGAUAUUACUGAUUGAUAAUGAACAAAAAAAUACCUCUGCAUCCUCAAGCUACUAUCAAAUGUGCAUUUCUAAGAGACAACAAAGAGAUAUUAUUAUCAUUAUCAUUAUCAUUAUCAUUAUCAGACAACCCAAACCUGUUUCUUGAUUUAAAACAACAUAACUCAUUAGAACAGAAAUUAAUUUUUCUAUUUAGAUAUUUAUUUUGUUAAGGAAAAUUAAUGGUCUGGUUUCUACAACUUUCACUUUGGAGUAAAAAUCUGACUUUAAACUUGAAAGAAAUAAAGAUUUGACAUUUAUCGUCAUAAUUAUCAAUAUCGACUGAUAUGAAAAAAAUUAUUGUGAUAAUUUUUUUGCCCAUAUCGCCCAGCCCUAAAUUAUCGUUAUUAUCGAUUUAUCUCCCAGCCCUAAAAUUAUGACAGAAUUUUCAUUUUUGGGUGAACUAUCCCUUUUAAAAGUAACACUGUUUGACACUGUUUGUAGAUGUUAACUGCACAAGGUCUGGAAGUGUAUCAGGUUUUAAUAUGAAUUUGAAUCCAGCUCAUCCCUCAUCUGUCUGUGCACUCCAACGUUUGUAUUUUCAAGAGCUUAACAAGAUGGGUUUUGUGACUAUUAGCCUAUAUUACAUCAUACUUUUCAAUUUUCCGAAGUAAUGAUGGUAUAAUGAAGCCCAGGAGGAGGAUAGUAUGCACGGCUGUUGUUCAGUAGGGAAAUGAUGCUGACUGCUGCCACGGUAACCAGUGCCAACAGCCUCAUUACAGUAGUGUCCAUUUAGAACAACAGACACUCCGGGCACAAGAUGUGAUCAGUUGAUAUAUUUAACAAACAUUUUAGAAUUUCAGUAACCAUAAAAGUUAGAUUACAAGUUUGUCAGAACACGAAAAGGAUGUUUGUGAACAGAAGUUGUGUUUGUUUGAGGAUGUAGCCAAAGCAACUGAGAGCAAAAUUCUGAAUUUAAAGGGAUAGUUCACCCGAAAAUGAAAAUUCUGUCACUAAUUACUCACUCUCAUGUCGUUCCAAACCUGUAAGACCUUCGUUCAUCUUCGGAAUAUACAAGAUAGUUUUUAUUAAAUCUGAGAGCUUUCUGAUCCUGCAUAGACAGCAACGGAACUACCACAUUCAAGGUCCAGAAAGGCUACAUUGGUAAAGCUUAUGGGGCUGUCACGUGAUGAACAAACGACUCGAACCCGAAAACUUGUCAGAUAAGAGGUGAAGUGAGCUAAUCAUAGACUAAAGACCCAGGUAAACAAUGAAUUAAUCUUUUCUGUUUCUUAUAGCAUUAUAGUUUUGUCUUGUUUGUAGUGUGAUCAACGUUUGUGUAAGCAGUAGAUGUGUUAGGGAAGUAAUAAUCAAAAUGACUUGAAAAAAGAUUUGUUCAUUUGGCUGAACGAGACUCAAAGGUCUGAGUCGGUAAAAUGAUCCGAACUUCCCAUCACUAAUAAUUAACUCAGAAUGCAUGAAGUAGCAUUUGCCCUUCUUCAAAAUAGUCCCUUCUGUGUCAGUCUUCAUUGUACAUUCAUGAGAGUACCAUGACGCAUGUGAACGCGCUUCAAAGACUGACAGAGGAGAGGAGAAAUAGUUAAAUUAAGUCAUUAUUUUUGUUUUAUUUUAGUUGCGUUACUGUCUAUGCAGGGUCAGAAAGCUCUCGGAUUUAAUCCAAAAUAUCUUUAUUAGUGUUCUGAAGAUGAACGAAGGUCUUAUGAGUUUGGAAUGACAUGAGGAUCAGUAACUAAUGACAGAAUUUUCAUUUUGGAGUGAACUAGCCCUUUAAGAAUUGGCUCCCUUUCAGUUCAUGAGUUGGAACUUGUUUUGAUUAUGCCCCACAGGAAGGAACAGGCCUGGAACAACAUGAAGUGCUAUUAUAAUAGGGCAGUUCUCUGCCCAUGAUUCUCUCCGGCGUUGGGGGUCCCACCUGACCCUGUAUGAGUGCUAAGGCCUGAGAAUUGGAUUACAGCUUAUCCAUAUCAGCAGCUGUAGCUUCCUAACAAAGCCUGCGGGCCCCUGGGCAUAAUUCAAGCAAGCCAGAAUUCACCAAGGACACUCCUGACUGGAAAAGUGGAAUGGCAGAGGAAUAUCCAGUGCCAUAAUCCUCUUUCCCCUCAACACAUUACCGGACGCACCAGCAUAUCGACUGGCUAACACUACCCACAGAAGCAGAAGAGGUAAGAAAUACUGUAGAUAUCUAUGUAAAAGCGCUACCCAGCCACACAACAAGAGGGUCAGAGUUUAUUUCCAGCCUGACAACGGAGCCUCUCUAAAUCAGUGUGAUCACAGCCUCACUGACAGGUUGUGACUAACCCAUGCAGUGCCCCUAAAUCACACACACACACUGGGCUCAGACCUCACUGCAUGCUUUUAGACUUAGUAUAUUGAAUGAGGGCAUUUCAGGUCAAAGCUGCAAUAUCAAAGCUGAUUGCAUAUUAAUUUAAAGGAGAAGUCCACUUCCAAAACAACAGUUUACAAAUAAUUUACUCACCCCCUUGUCAUCCAAGAUGUUCAUGUCUUUCUUUCUUCAGUUGUAAAGAAAUUAUAUAUUUUGAGGAAAACAUUUCAGCAUUUUUCUCUAUAUAAUAGACUCAUAUGGGCCCCCCGAUUUUGAAUUUCCAAAAUACAGUUUAAAUGCGGCUUCAAACGAUUCCAGCCGAGAAAGAAGAGUCUUAUCUAGCAUAACGAUCGAUUAUUUUUAAAAAAUUAAAAAUUGAUAUACUUUUUAAUGCCAAUUGCUCGUCUUGUCUUACUCUGCCUGGACUGUUUUUGUUCCGGUUCGUGACAGUUAGGGUAUGUGGAAAAACUCCCAUCUCAUGUUUUCCCUCAACUUCGAAAUCGUCCUAUAUUGCUGUUUUACCGUUUUUUUUUUUUGUUAAAGGAGAACUCCACUUCCAGAACAACAAUUUAUGAAUAAUUUACUCACCCCCUUGUCAUCCAAGAUGUCAACCAAUUAUGUUUUUUGAGGAAAGCAUUUCAGGAUUUUUCUGCAUAUAAUGGACUUUAUUGGUGCCCCGAAUUUGAACUUUCAAAAUGUAGUUUAAAUGCAGCUUCAAAGGGCUCUUAACGAUCCCAGCCGAGGAAGAAGGGUCUUAUCUAGCGAAAUGAUCUGUCAUUGUUUUCAAAAAAUAAAAAGUAUACUUUUUAAGCACAAAAGCUUGUGUAGCACAGGCUCUGGGAUGUGCGUCCACGGGUCGUUCUUGAAUGAUUCGUUCAUUUUGAACGAAUCUUUAAUGUGACUUGGGAAGAACGAGUCGUCUCGUGGAGUGAUUCGUUCAGUCGCGCAUGCGCAACAUCCUAUUAGGUUCUGUACUGGAAUUAGUUCACCUGUUUCGAGUAUUUGGGUUUUUCGAGUCGUUUGUUCAUCUUAUAGGGCUGUCACGUGAUGCUGAUUUUGCUAAAAUGAACAAAAUGACUUGAAAAAAGAUUUGUUAAUUUUGCUGAACAAGACUCAAAGGUCUGAGUCGGUAAAAUGAUCCGAACUUCCCAUCACUACCACGAAUCACGUCUAAGUUCAUCAUCUGUGUACUCCGGCUCAAAAAGUUAGAGUAUGUUGAAAAACUCCAUAUUGUUUUCUCCUACAACUUCAGAAUCGUCCGACAUCGCUGUACCUUUUUCUUUGUAAACAGCGUUUGACUUACUUGCACUUUCUUAGUCUUUGCGCGUUCGCUUUGUAAACACUGGGUCUGUAGUUCCGCGUGACCUUUCGACGUGAUUCAAUAGUAUGUGAACGCGCAUCCCAGAGCCUGUGCUACACAAGCUUUUGUGCUUAAAAAGUAUACAAAUUUUUAUUUUCCAAAAAAAAAGACAGAUCAUUUCGCUAGAUAAGACCCAUGUUCCUCGGCUGGGAUCGUUUAGAGCCUGUUCAAGCUGCAUAUAAAAUACAUUUUGGAAGUUCAAAAUUGGGGCACCAUAUCAGUCCAUUAUAUGGAGAAAAAUGCUGAAAUGUUUUUUUUUUCAAAAAACAAUUUCUUUACGACUGAAGAAAGAAAGACAUGAACAUCUUGGAUGACAAGGGGGUAAGUAAAUUAUAUGUGAAUCUUUGUUUCGAAAGUCUCCUUCUCCUUUAACACCAAUAUAUAGGGAUAGUCCAUCCCAAAAUGAAAAUUCUGUCAUUAAUUACUCACCCUUAAUGUUGUUCCAAACCUGUAAGACCUUCGUUCAUACACAAAUUAAGAUAUUUAUGAUGAAAUCCAAGAGCUUUUCUGACCCUCUAUAGACAGCAAUGUAAUGGAAAAGCGCAUUGUGUCUGCUGAAUACAUGACGUUAACUAACCAUAAAAAUUUUUUUGUGUGUAUAUUAAUGCUAUAUGGACAUUUUCACACACUCAUUGUAUUGAGACAAGCAUUUUCUGUAAAUCUGCUCAUAUGUAUUGUAAAAAGCAUAUGCAAAUAAACUUGAA